rnacentral:rRNA from 1 species
UACGGAGGGUGCGAGCGUUAAUCGGAAUGACUGGGCGUAAAGGGCACGCAGGCGGGUUGUUAAGUGAGAUGUGAAAGCCCCGGGCUUAACCUGGGAAUUGCAUUUCAGACUGGCAAUCUAGAGUAUUUUAGGGAGGGGUAGAAUUCCACGUGUAGCGGUGAAAUGCGUAGAGAUGUGGAGGAAUACCGAAGGCGAAGGCAGCCCCUUGGGAAUAUACUGACGCUCAUGUGCGAAAGCGUGGGGAGCAAACAGG